rnacentral:piRNA from 1 species
UAAGAGCUUGUUCUUCAGGUGACUCUGUU